AGUGAUGUGAUGUGGUUAUGGAGGUCCAUCAAGAUCAUGGGGGGUAACCACGGUCAUGGGGUUAUGGGGUUCCAUCAAGGCCAUGUGGUUAUGGGGGUCCAUCAAGGUCAUGAGGUUAUAGGGGUCCAUCAGGGUCAUGGGAUUAUGGAGGUCCAUCAUGGUUAUGGGUUAUGGGGUUCCAUCAAGGUCAUGUGGCUAUGGGAGUCCAUCAGGGUUAUGGGGUUCCAUCAUGGUUAUGGGGUUCUAUCAAGGUUAUGGGGUUAUGGGGGUCCACCAGGGUCAUGGGGGUCCAUCAUGGUUAUGGGUUAUGGGGUUCCAUCAAGGUCAUGUGGCUAUGGGAGUCCAUCAGGGUUAUGGGGUUAUGGAGGUCUAUCAAGGUCAUGGGGUUAUGGGGUUCCAUCACGGUCAUGUGGUUAUGGGGUUCCAUCAGGGUUAUGGGGUUAUGGGGUUCCAUCAGGGUCAUGGGGUCAUGUGGUUAUGGGGGUCCAUCAUGGUUAUGGGAUCAUGGGGUUAUGGGGGUCCAUCAUGGUCAUGUAGUCAUGAAGGUACAUCAUGGCUAUGAGGUUAUGGGGUUCCAUCACGGUUAUGUGGUUAUGGGGUUCCAUCAGGGUCAUGUGGUUAUGGGGUUCCAUCAGGGUUAUGGGGGUCCAUCAGGGUCAUGGAGUCAUGAGGUUAUGGGGUUCCAUCAAGGCCAUGGGGUUAUGGAGGUCCAUCAUGGUUAUGUGGCUAUGGGGGUCCAUGAUGGUUAUGGGGUUAUGGAGUUCCAUCAAGGUCAUGUGGUUAUGAGGGUCUAUCAGGGUCAUGGGUCCAUGGGGUUCCAUCAGGAUUAUGGGGUCAUGUGGUUAUGGGGGUCCAUCAAGGUAAUGGAGUCAUGGUGUUAUGGGGGUCCAUCAGGGUCAUGUGGCUAUGGGGGUUCAUCACAGUCAUGGGGUUAUGGAGGUCCAUCAUGGUUAUGGGGUUAUGGGGUUCCAUCAUGGUCAUGUGGUUAUGGGGGUCCAUCAAGGUCCUCGGGGUCCAUCAAGGUCGUGGGGUUAUGGAGGUCCAUCACAGUCAUGUUGGGUCAGCAGGAUCAUGGGAUUAAGGAGUUCCAUCAGGGUCAUGUGGUUAUGGAGUUCCAUCAGGGUCAUGUGGUUAUGGGGUUCCAUCAGGGUCAUGGGGUUAUGGGGGUUCAUCACAGUCAUGGGGUUAUGGAGGUCCAUCAAGGUUAUGGGGUCAUGUUGUUACGGGGUUCCAUCAAGGUCUAUCAGGGUUAUGGGUUCCAUCAUGGUCAUGUGGUUAUGGGAGUCCAUCAGGGUCAUGGGGUUCCAUCGAGGUCCUCGGGGUCCAUCAAGGUCAUGGGGUUAUGGGGUUCCAUCAAGGCCGUGUGGUUAUGGAGGUCCACCAGGGUCAUGGGGUUCCAUUAAGAUCAUGUGGUCAAGGGGGGUCACCAGGUUCCUGUGGGGCCACCAUGGUCAUGAUGGUCACCACAUGGCCACGGGGGCCAGCUGGGGUCACGU
rnacentral:lncRNA from 1 species